GAAGUUUGCUCUUUUUGGGCUAGCUAAUAUGUGAGUAUUAGUGAUAAAAACUGGGUGAAUUGUCAAGAAGACUAACGUCUAUGUUUAUUAUAUUUUAAAUUUAAUAACUGUAGACCAUGUUAACUUGCAGCGAAGCUUAUCGAAUGGUAAAUAACAGUAGAUAAGAACGUUCAACGACUAGAAAGUGAAGAUUACCAACUAAUAAACUUUCCACGAGCGCCCAGCAACUUUUGUUUAUAUUUAUAACAGGCCCGCGGCUUUGCCGCGGGCGUAGCAUCAAAUUAAUUAAAUUGUAUUUUUGAUGCGCGGCCAGCAACUAAGCUGGCAAAUAUAAAACCAAGUUGAAGACAUAGUCUGAACUGUAAAGAAAUUUACAG
rnacentral:ncRNA from 1 species